AGAUUUGUCAAGCGCGGAGAAACAAGGUCUAUUUCGGGAAGGGACUGCAGCGGCCGCGGUCGGCAGCUGCAGGAGCCCAGGAACCCCAGGCUACGUGAUUAAAAUUUCAGACCUUGGCACAAGCGCUUUGACCGUGACGGGGUGUUGUGACGGUAUCCCUCAUAAAAUCAAGCAGAAUCCUGGGCGUGGAAGACUGACCUGCGUAAACUGCCCUCGUUCAUCUCUGCUUUCCACGGGGUUCCAUCCAUGAAUGGCAAAGGCCGAGCACAAGGAGUGGGCCAUUGUCACCAAGAAAAUUCUAUGAGUUAUCACAUCCACCCACCAUCACUACAACUGUUGACCCUGUCCAGAUAAGUCAAUGAGAAAAAAGUUGGUGUGAAGAGAAAAUGCGUUGAAGUCAGAGGGAAAGAGAAAUAAAAGACCAUGUCUCCGGAGAAAGAGCCUAAGAUAAUGGCUCUCCUGCUCUGUGUGAAAUAUUGAUGUCUACUUGUAGUAAACCCCGGAAUUGUGACCACGCACCCAUAACAACUAUUAGCAACACCCUGUGUGCCCCGAGUACCACACACCUCUUCUUUAUACUUAGAGUUCAUUUUGCUGUCAGAAUUGGGAGACUUUCCUGUGAGAUUUUCUCAUUCCAGCCUUUCAUCUUCCAAAUAGUGUUCUGAUAUAUUUCGGUUGUUUUAUUUGCUCCACGAGGGAUCAAAUUAACCAUAACUCUGGCCCAUGGCAUGCACCAUUAUUGAUGUCUUUUAGUAAAAACUCUCUUGUUCA